UGAAGUUGUGGAAUUUUUUUUUAUUUAUUAUAAUAUAACUAGAGAUAACUAAAUCAGAUAUGUAUAAGCAUAAAAAUUUUUAAAAACUUUUUAAAAGCUUUUUCUUGUACAAAAGAGCUUUCUCUCACAUAUUGUAACUAGAAAGGGAUAUUGCGUAUUUGAUUACUCAUUUUUUUCUGACCAUAAAAACUGUAACCAAUAUAAUAAAGAAACUUUAUUUUGUGUCCAAAGGUAGAAACAUAUUGGCGCUGGUCGUCAUGAUGUUUACUCAAAAAUUGCUAAAACUAUGCUCACUAUUUCUAAAUUAUAUAUACAUCUUAUGGAUCAAAGCUUUCUGACAAGAGCCACAUCAGCAUUCUUAAUUAGUAUUUUUUGCUUAAUAUUGUUUAAUACCGCUGCUAUUGACGCUUGUGAGUGAGCUUCCCCCAAUUAGAGUUUAUAUGCAUUUUAAAAGCGGUAUAUGUAUUUUUAGUACUUCAUGAGUAAAAGCUUUGUGACGGACAUCUUUAUAUACCUAUACUUUUAAGCGAGGCCCUAUGCUCCACUUAGGAGAGAAGGACAGCAGUAAUAUAACACGCUUUUAUAGGGUGCUUUAAGGCACAAAUGCUUACUUUUCCCAGAUAAAGUUUACAUUUCUAAAAAUGCAACCUUGCAUAGGAUUUUGCAAACGUCUCCACAACACCAAAAAAGAAAAAAAAAAAUAACACAAAAAAAAAAAAA